rnacentral:lncRNA from 1 species
AUGAAGAUCACCGUAGCCCAUUUCAUUUGGACUCUAACAGCAGUUGCUUCCCUGCAAUUCUCUCACAGAUCUCUGUGCUCUACAGCUGAAGGACUUUGUGAAGCAGACACGGCAACUUCACAUUCGGUAUUUUUACAGUCACUCACCAUUAAUAUUUUUGUCCUCCAUAAACUCCUCCGUAUGCUUUUCAAACUCAGGUUGGGGCUCUGCGGUCAGUUGGAAGAGAACAGGGGAGAAAAGGGGGAGUCCUCUUCUGUCUUACGUCCAAAUGUUCUCUACUGUGAUUAAUAAAGCUUCUGUCUGACCCAUCUUAAAUUGUCCUUGCCUUAUCACACACUCGGGGCCCUUAUAUUCUCUGGCAGCGAUGAACAGCUCUUGAGAACUGGACCAGUCACUGUUAAUGGGAAGCAGAGAGGACAAGCUAUAGGUUUUCUGCAAGGAUCCAGGUCACACAAUUUAUAUGCCAGCAGAGUCUUGUAGGACCAGAUCACUCACUUGGGUAAACCAACAGAGUCGUACUGGUCUACACUUGGUGAGAACAGCAGGUGCUCCACCAUACUUACUAAUCAUUUGGACUCAAUUUUUGCCGUCGGACAGUUCCCAUGUGAAGCAGUUCCCAUAUGUAAAUCCCACAUGAUGCAGCAUAUGCAGCAGUUUAGGGCUAUACAUGCAUCAUGGGGGAAAACAAAAACAAACAGCUCAGAUGUCAGGGGAGGGAAGUUACACGGUCUCCACACGAGGAAAAAGUAAUACAGCGUGAUUCACAGUAGGAUCGAGGCAUGCAGUACUGUAAGAACACCGUAUACCAGGCUGUAUUAUGACUUCUCCAUAAACCUCUGCCACUGCCCACUGUCAAAAGGCAGGUUAGUAAGGA